rnacentral:rRNA from 1 species
ACGGAAGGCAGCAGUGGGGAAUAUUGGGCAAUGGGCGAAAGCCUGACCCAGCAACGCCGCGUGAAGGAAGAAGGUCUUCGGAUUGUAAACUUCUUUUAUGAGGGACGAAGGACGUGACGGUACCUCAUGAAUAAGCCACGGCUAACUACGUGCCAGCAGCCGCGGUAAUACGUAGGUGGCAAGCGUUAUCCGGAUUUACUGGGUGUAAAGGGCGCGUAGGCGGGAGAGCAAGUCAGAUGUGAAAUCCAUGGGCUUAACCCAUGAACUGCAUUUGAAACUGUUCUUCUUGAGUGCCGGAGAGGUAGACGGAAUUCCUUGUGUAGCGGUGAAAUGCGUAGAUAUAAGGAAGAACACCAGUGGCGAAGGCGGUCUACUGGACAGUAACUGACGCUGAGGCGCGAAAGCGUGGGUAGCAAACAGGAUUAGAUACCCUGGUA